rnacentral:rRNA from 1 species
GGAAUAUUGGUCAAUGGCCGAGAGGCUGAACCAGCCAAGUAGCGUGCAGGACGACGGCCCUAUGGGUUGUAAACUGCUUUAGCGGGGGAAUAAAGUCGGCUACGCGUAGCCGUUUGUAUGUACCCCGAGAAUAAGGACCGGCUAAUUCCGUGCCAGCAGCCGCGGUAAUACGGAAGGUCCGGGCGUUAUCCGGAUUUAUUGGGUUUAAAGGGAGCGCAGGCUGACUGUUAAGCGUGACGUGAAAUGCCGCGGCUCAACCGUGGAAGUGCGUCGCGAACUGGCGGUCUUGAGUGGGCACGAGGCAUGCGGAAUUCGUGGUGUAGCGGUGAAAUGCUUAGAUAUCACGAAGAACUCCGAUUGCGAAGGCAGCAUGCCAGGUUCUUACUGACGCUAAUGCUCGAAGGUGCGGGUAUCGAACA